rnacentral:rRNA from 1 species
UGCCAGCCUCCUCGGUAAUACGGAGGAUCCAAGCGUUAUCCGGAAUCAUUGGGUUUAAAGGGUCCGUAGGCGGUCUAAUAAGUCAGAGGUGAAACCCUACCGCUCAACGGUAGAACUGCCUUUGAUACUGGCAAACUUGAGUCAUUGUGAAGUAGUUAGAAUGUGUAGUGUAGCGGUGAAAUGCAUAGAUAUUACACAGAAUACCAAUUGCGAAGGCAGAUUACUAACAAUUAACUGACGCUGAGGGACGAAAGCGUGGGUAGCGAACAGGAUUAGAUA